rnacentral:rRNA from 1 species
UACAGAGGUCUCAAGCGUUGUUCGGAAUCACUGGGCGUAAAGGGUGCGUAGGCCGCACGGUAAGUCAGAGGUGAAAUCCCGGAGCUCAACUUCGGAAUUGCCUCCGAUACUGCCGUGCUUGAGGACUGGAGAGGAGAUUGGAAUUCACAGUGGAGCAGUGAAAUGCGUAGAUAUUUGUGAGGAACACUAGUGGGCGAAGGC